AUUUAAAAUAAGAACACACGCUUUCAUACAUUUAUGCCUUCAUAAUCAUGUGAUUCAUAGACACUACUGAAUAUUAAUUCAGUCACGGAAAUUAAAAGGAAAUGCAAUAACAAGGAGGUGCAAAUUAGUCUGUGGUCAGGCAGUGGUAAUCAGUGGUAAUCAGUGGUCAGGCAGUGGUCAGGCAGUGGUAGUCAGUGGUCAGGCAGUGGUAGUCGGUGGUCAGGCAGUGGUAGUCGGUGGUCAGGCAGUGGUAAUCAGUGGUAAUCAGUGGUCAGGCAGUGGUUGUCAGUGGUCAGGCAGUGGUAGUCGGUGGUCAGGCAGUGGUAGUCGGUGGUCAGGCAGUGGUAGUCGGUGUUCAGGCAGUGGUAGUCGGUGGUCAGGCAGUGGUAGUCGUGGUAGUCCGUGGUCAGUCAGUGGUAGUCAGUGGUCAGGCAGUGGUAGUCAGUGGUAGUCGGUGGUCAGGCAGUGGUAGUCGGUGGUCAGGCAGUGGUAAUCAGUGGUCAGGCAGUGGUAGUCAGUGGUCAGGCAGUGGUAGUCAGUGGUCAGGCAGUGGUCAGUCUGGUGGUCAGUCAGUCAUGUUCAGUCAGUCAUAGUCAGUGGUCCUGAGGCAGUGUUGGGAUCUACUGUAGAUUCAUCAGGAAGGGCUGUAAUUGGCAUGGGGCAAUGGGGCCUGGGAUUGGACAAUGUCACACAGUGAUGUGUGUGUGUUGGCUUGUGGCAUUUGUGUGUAUGUGCGUGUGUACAUGAUUCUGUGUGUGUGUUUGUUCAGCUCUGUUCAUUAGACAGGGCCAGAGAUGGUGAAAUGCCCCCCUGACCCUCCCCUGACCCCUCCAACACAAUUACCCCUCAAGGCCUCAACUUUGGUUAUUGAUGCCUGACAGAGCAGCAGAGAAGCUGCACCACCACUAUGUAAAGCACAACAUAGGGGAUAGGGUGGCGUUUGGGAUACAGCCCUCACUCACUAAUGUGAACCCUUCCACAGAGUCAGUCAGCUGUGGACAGGCAGAGGAAUGGUUAGGGGGUGGAUGAUGGAGUGACUGACUGCGAGGGGUAGUUGAUUGGGCUUCUGGUUAUAAAUAGGUUCU
ensembl:lncRNA